rnacentral:rRNA from 1 species
AUGAACUCCUUCGUGUGAGUGAAUUACGGCGGACGGGUGAGUAACACGUGGGUAACCUGCCUCAUAGAGGGGAAUAGCCUUCCGAAAGGGAGAUUAAUACCGCAUAACAUAGCACUACCGCAUGGUAGAGUUAUCAAAGGAGCAAUCCGCUAUGAGAUGGACCCGCGGCGCAUUAGCUAGUUGGUGAGGUAACGGCUCACCAAGGCGACGAUGCGUAGCCGACCUGAGAGGGUGAUCGGCCACAUUGGAACUGAGACACGGUCCAGACUCCUACGGGAGGCAGCAGUGGGGAAUAUUGCGCAAUGGGGGAAACCCUGACGCAGCAACGCCGCGUGAGUGAAGAAGGCCUUAGGGUUGUAAAGGUCUGUCAUAUGGGAAGAUAAUGACU